CUAACCAGCGUCCGACUGCCUCCUCUAUCAAAGGUUCCUCUUCCUUUCAAAUAUCAGACAGCAAACAAAGAAUGUUGGGGCCACACAAGCAGAGAACACCAUGUCUUCAGAUCUCUUCACAGCCUUGUCCUCCAGAGUUUAGAAGUGGAGGGAAAAGAUUAAAGGCAAUCUUCUUGUUUUGCUAUUUGUCCUUGGACCUAAUCUGGACCUAAUUUGGACACACAGGCUAACGAAGGCCGUGAGUGUGAGUUGUCCAGGUCCUUGGCAACAAAGAAUUGAACAAAAUGCACAAAGUAACAAAGGAACAAAACAGAGGGAGGAAGCAUCAAAAGCGGAAAUUUAUUAAGGUCAUGGGCCAUUUGCCACCUGAACAGUCAGUAACACAUGAGUGGAAAGAAACUGAACACCCAGGGACACCAGAGACCGUUCACUGUAGAGGAAGGAGGCAGAUUUGUGAACAUGUAAAACAAAGAAAACAGCAUGGGAG
rnacentral:lncRNA from 1 species